UACGUAGAGUGCAAGCGUUGUCCGGAAUUAUUGGGCGUAAAGGGUACGCAGGCGGAUAGUAAAGUCAAGCGUGAAAGGUGUCGGCUUAACCGACAGACUGCGUUUGAAACUGAUUAUCUUGAGUGUAACAGAGGAGAGUGGAAUUCCUAGUGUAGUGGUGAAAUACGUAGAUAUUAGGAAGAACACCAGUGGCGAAGGCGACUCUCUGGGUUAACACUGACGCUGAGGUACGAAAGCUGGGGAGGCAACGGAAGUAGUAUACCGGUACGGUCCUCGAACUAG
rnacentral:rRNA from 1 species